GGCUUUAUUCUUUUAAGAAGAAAAACAAUGAAGAGACAAACCCCAGGAAAUCAAGUAAGGGGGAAAAACCAACCCUGUGUUCGGAGGAAAUGUUAAAUCAGCGAAUUGAAAUGCUGAGAUGAAAGCGGGGAGGCUGGGCGGGGCCUGUCACCCACGCUGACAGGGGUGGGGAAGGACCGUGGGGUGGGGGACGAGGCCCAGGCGCCACAGCAGCACCCCUGUUGGCUCCCCCAGCGCCUCCUCCCUGCAGGGCUUCCGUGAUCCCCUCUGCCUCCUGGCUCCCCGUCCCCCGCAGCAUAUGCAGUUUGGGGGACCUCCCUUGCCUUUCCCCCUCCCACAUCCCCAGCCCCACCACCCUGCAGGAGAGCGCCCCCUACGGGCGGCCUUGUAGCAUCAGGAAACUGCCCUUCAGGGCUGCGCUCCUUGCACCUCCCGCCCCAAAAGAUGCCGCCCUCGAGGAAGCACGCCGAAUUCCAGGUUCCCGGGCCCCAACACGCGGUGCCAGCUUCUCUGACUCUGACCUUGGAUCAGGUGGACACCGGAGGGCUCCCCGCGUCCGGCGGGAAGGAGCGCCCAGCACCACGGACAGCGCAAGGCCCGGCUGUGCUUGGGAACCCGGAAGGCGGAGGCUCUACAACUCCAGUCCCUUCCACGGCAUUGAAGGGACACUGGACAAGGAAUGUCACCGCCAGGCCUAGUGGCCUGGUAAUCAACCAUUCUCAGUGCCCAGUAUGGAAAGGCAAUUAAAGCAAGAAUUAAAAAGCCAUCGCCUCAUUUAAAAUCCAAUAACACGGCUGGCCUGACCCGAGCCCUCAGUCCCUGGGGAGGGAGCAGGUGGCGUUUGGGAGGAGCAGAGGGCAGCGCGGCCAAGGAGAAGGCUGCCGGGGCUUUCGCGCCUUCCUGCCACACAGCCAGAUCGGAAGCGCCCCUGCAUCUCUGGCCAUGAGGAAGUUUUCUGUGCUGAGUGCCUCCUUCUGGAAUUCAUUGCUUCCUAGCAGCUCGUCUUUCCUUCUCAGCCAGGGCAAGUGAUUCUGUAGGCAUGGGCUUUGUUGCUCCACCUACUGCCUACAAACACACACAUGCACACAUGCACACACACACACACACACACACCAUGCCUUGCCCAGGGCUGACUGAUGCGUAGUGAUGGUUAACAAACCACGGACAGGUUCGCCGGCUGCAGCCUCUGCCCACCACCCUGACCAAAUCGUGCUCCCACCCGGUAUCACCUCACCAUCCUCCACAUGAGGACCAUAAAACCCGUGAUCCUCGCCCGUCUGUGCGUCAAACAGAGCCCGCCGGGCCAUUCCCCCCUUUUGUUUCUGGUGCCUAAAGAGGAUUCGUGCGCACGCCUUCAUGUAGAAGCUCUGCAUUUGCUUCUCAUUCUUAAUCGAGCCAGAGAAUUUCUAAUCUACUAAGAUGACAUUAACCCUUUUCAUAUCAAAUACAGCGGUUCUGCAGGUAAUCUUCCCAUCGCGCCAACUGCCUUGAUGUUCCAGGGAAGGCAGAGGGGGAGUCUGUACCCUUUCAUUUUCUAUCCUCCUCGGCACAGUCCGAAGCUUGAGGAUUUGAGUUUGAUGGGAGCUGUUCUUGCAAUUCAUGACCCCCAUCCCUUGGGGGCUUACUUGUGCCUAUUUUAAAUAAAUUCCCCCUUUUUUCUCUCUUUUUUACAAAGAACAACUGCAAAUCUUCUUUGAGGAGAGCUGUCUUUUGGGGUGGAAUCCAGUUCUGACAGUCAAGCUUUCAUGAGAUGAGGUCCUGGGUGAAUGACGAGGACAUGAGCUGCCUCUGCAAUGGGCUCUUGCCCGAGAGCUGGGGACAUUCUCUGCAAGUCCUGCAUGCUUUCAGCUUCAGGUGCCCGAUCACUUGGUUGUUGGUUCAAGAAAAAUCUUACUGCAAGAAGCGGAGAAGGGGAAAAAGGUAAGGAAGGUGAGCACGCAGGUCGCUGCCUUCAGGGCUGCUCGGCACAGCUCUUUCUUGCUUCAGAGCCAGGUGAGAGCAGCUGAGCCUGCUGCAGCCCACACCACUCGCCCCAGAGCCGUCCUGCCCGUCUCCCAGCUGGACACUGCAGUGGGAACUCGGGCAGGGGCCCCGGCGCACCCUCCUGUCCUGCCUGCCAUGUCAGGACCUGCCCAUGUGGAGCACAGAAGCAACCCCAGGAGCAGGAAGGAGGUGCAGGCUGGUUCGGGGUGGGGGCAGCCCAGGUCUCUACUCUGCCAGACGGCUAUGAAAGGAUCUGGCCUGAGCUCCCCAGGAACCUGGAGCUGAGAAUGGCCCCUUACCACCCAGCCAGACCUGCAAACACUCCCAGCUCCUCAACCUACCCCCGCCAGACCCCAUCCACCCCGAAGCCCCGCCCAUCCCGGACCACAGGGAAAGCAGGACACCCCUCCCUGCCGCUUGCCUUCACCUCCCACUUCGGUGUGGCUGCCACCCAGAGCUGUCACACCAGAGGCUGCAUGGGGCUGCUGUUUCCAUUUGCAGCCCCUGGCAGCCCCCCAAAUCCUAAAGCCAUCAGCCCAGCAGAUGUAGGGAAGUCGACAACUGGGUUUCACUGAUGCAAUGGAAGAGGCAGCUAGCGCCUUUCACCUGAAUCCACCCUGGAUCAAGCUGACGUCUGGAACAGCCCUGGCUCCCAUCCACACAGCGCAGAACCUCUGCUAAGACUUCUCUCCUCCUUCCGCAUGAAAGUACAAACUUUCCCUAACCACGUACUCCCUUAAUCAUUUAUGAAAAUGCGUCAGCUGUCUCCUCUCCUCGAGCCAGCACCCAGAGCCCUCCCUCUCAGCGGGAGCUGCCUGCCCCAAGGGGUUGAAGAGAAGGGGGUGCUGUGGCUUCUGUGAGCCUAACCUUUCCUUAUAAUGAAUUCCUCACUUUCAAGGCCAUCUGUUUCUCUUUAAACACAUCCAUCAUCUCCAUAAAAAUAUAAAUACAUAUAUUUAAAAUUCAAUUAAAAAGAGAUCUAGAGUCAGGCAUCUUGGUGCACGCCUGUUAUCCCAGCGCUCUGGGAGGCUGAAGCAGGAAGAUUGCAAGUUUGAGCCUGGUCUGGGCAAAUUAGAGACUUAGCGAGAACCCUACCUCAAAAUAAAAAAUAAAAGGGGUAGUUUAGUGCGAUGGCCGUGGGUUUCACACCCUUUACUACAAGAAGGAAGGAAGGAA
ensembl:lincRNA